UCAGCCUCUAGAGGCAUUGUAGGUGUGGUUGAUGUGUCCCACGUGUGUCAGUCAGUGGCACAGAGGAGAGAGGUUCUGUCUACACCCCAUGUUCCAACUUAGGAACAUCUGAAUAGUUAGUAGCAUAACAUU